AUGAAGAACGCAGCGAAACGCGAUAUUUCUUGUGAAUUGCAGAAGUGAAUCAUCAGUUUUUGAACGCACAUUGCACUUUGGGGUAUCCCCCAAAGUAUACUUGUUUGAGCGUUGUUUCUCUCUUGGAAUUGCUUUGCUCUUCUAAAAUUUCGAAUCAAAUUCGUUUGAAAAACAACACUAUUCAACCUCAGAUCAAGUAGGAUUACCCGCUGAACUUAAGCAUAUCAAUAAGCGGAGGA
rnacentral:misc_RNA from 1 species